rnacentral:ncRNA from 1 species
UUUGGCGAAGCUUGGCCAUGGCAAGAUAACCUUUGUGAAAUCCCUUAACUUAUUUUAGGAAGUGCACUUGUUACAAAAAAGAUAUAGACUCGAGUAAGCAAGAAGAGGGUGGAAUUCCUAGAGGAGAGGUUCAAUUUGUAGAUACUAGGAGGAACGCCAAAAGCGAAGGCAGCUCUCUAAUGCUUGACUGACGCUGAUGUGCGAAAGCGUGGGGAGCGAAUGGGAUUAGAUAGAUCUGACCCGCUCAUAAAAUAUAGGUCAAAGGUGUCCCCUCGCAUUGUGAAGUGCGAGUGCGUAUCCAGCU